rnacentral:rRNA from 1 species
GUGCCAGCAGCCGCGGUAAUACGAAGGGGGCUAGCGUUGCUCGGAAUUACUGGGCGUAAAGGGCGCGUAGGCGGAUGCUUAAGUUGGGGGUGAAAGCCCAGGGCUCAACCCUGGAAUUGCCUUCAAUACUGGGCAUCUUGAGUACGGGAGAGGUGUGUGGAACUCCGAGUGUAGAGGUGAAAUUCGUAGAUAUUCGGAAGAACACCAGUGGCGAAGGCGACACACUGGCCCGUUACUGACGCUGAGGCGCGAAAGCGUGGGGAGCAAACAGGAUUAGAUACCCUCGUAGUCC